GUGGCGGUGGUGCAGUGGUAAAGAGCACUACCCAUUUACCGAGGCUGCAGUCCUUGAGGCAGCAGUUACGGGUUCGAGUCCCAGCCCGUUGACC